CCCCCGCCGCAAGUGGAUAAUAUUAAUAGUGUAAAAAUAUGCAAGUGUUCGGUAAACAGGAAGUUGUCGAGUGAUGAAUCUGAAAACGCAUCACACGGUAUAGCUGACUUAUAUAAAUCCUGAAACCAAAUUUCAGAAAUCCUUGUAUUGUAGUUCCUGAGAAAAAUGUGACGAAAAUUUUCAACUUGGCUGUCAUGUGUAAAAUCAUACAAGUGUUCGGUAAACAGGAAGUUGUCUAGUGAUGAAUCUGAAAACGCAUCACACGGUAUGGCUGACAUAUAUAAAUGUUGAUACCAAAUUACAGAAAGGGUGGAUGUGUAGUUCCUGAGAAAAAUGUGACGAAAGUUUCAUGGGACGGACUGACGGACGGACAGACAGAGGUAAAACAGUAUACCCCCCUUUUUUAAA
rnacentral:lncRNA from 1 species